AGUGAACGCUGGCGGUAGGCCUAACACAUGCAAGUCGAACGGCAGCACAGUAAGAGCUUGCUCGUACGGGUGGCGAGUGGCGGACGGGUGAGGAAUACAUCGGAAUCUACUUUUUCGUGGGGGAUAACGUAGGGAAACUUACGCUAAUACCGCAUACGACCUACGGGUGAAAGCAGGGGAUCUUCGGACCUUGCGCGAUUGAAUGAGCCGAUGUCGGAUUAGCUAGUUGGCGGGGUAAAGGCCCACCAAGGCGACGAUCCGUAGCUGGUCUGAGAGGAUGAUCAGCCACACUGGAACUGAGACACGGUCCAGACUCCUACGGGAGGCAGCAGUGGGGAAUAUUGGACAAUGGGCGCAAGCCUGAUCCAGCGAUACCGCGUGGGUGAAGAAGGCCUUCGGGUUGUAAAGCCCUUUUGUUGGGAAAGAAAAGCAGCAGGUUAAUACCCCGCUGUUCUGACGGUACCCAAAGAAUAAGCACCGGCUAACUUCGUG
rnacentral:rRNA from 1 species